rnacentral:siRNA from 1 species
UCCAUCCGGUGAUAGCUUAGUC